ACAAACUGAUACUCAGAGCCCUCUACCUUAGAAGCCGCAAUCAACCCCUCAUCCUUCUCCUGAGCCAACCAAACUCUAGUCAGAAGAUCUGCUCGAUCCACGGCUUCCAAUCCUAAUGGCUCUCGUGCCACAGCACACAACCGCAAAGCACCAAUCUCACUCACCAAGGCCUCAACACUCUGCCCUGGAGCCGCGCCCACGCGCUUACGGCUCAACGCGUCUGCAACCACAUUAGCCUUACCAGGAUGGUAAGCUAUCUCCAGAUCAUAAUCAGCCACCAGCUCCAUCCAUCGCCUCUGCCUCAGGUUCAGCUCUCGCUGAGUGAAGAUAUACUUCAAACUCUUAUGAUCCGUGAACACCUGCACUUUCCCGCCACAAAGAUAAGACCUCCAAAUCUUCAAGGCAAAGAUUACUGUAGCCAUCUCCAAAUCG
rnacentral:sRNA from 1 species